UGGGGGAAUGAGAAGUGAAUGAGUCAUGGUGACACACCCUGCUCUGCUGCUUAGAGGUCUCUUUGUGCUGCUUAUAGGAUAUCCUGUACAUGUGCAGUUCUGAGGGGGGCACUUGAAAAGCUGCAGCUUGUUAUGACACAGAAACAUCCUGAAGUACCAGGAAUAUUCAUAAUCUCACCUUAUAAAGUCCCUGGUGGCAUCAGAGACAAAUAAAAGUUGAAAGAUCCGGUUUGACCAAAUCUCUCUCCUGGUAUUUCUGGUUAAAAUACUAAUUAAGGAAUGUGGGAAGCAAAUGUGGCUGUGGUCACUGAAAUGUGCACCAAUGAAAACUGGCCUCAUUUUGAAGAAUUCAGCUCCUUUGCUUUACUGCACAAUAUAUCAUCUGAGAUCAUAAAUAAAGAGAAUAAAGAAACACAGAUUUGGAGAUGAUGACAACAGACCAUCUGUGAUAUUGGAAAACUAAACACAGCCUCAGCCCUGAUGAGUUUCCAUGUUUAUAUUCAAGUGUGUGAGCAUGAUCACAAAUUAAACAGCUUUUUUAACUCCUUGAGAAGGUAAUCCACCCGUGAUACACUGUCCCCGAUGUCUGCAAAUGCAGCUUGGAUCUCCAUCAGUCCAUCCAAAGAAAGCUUCAGCUAGAGGCAAGACAAGCAC